AGGGGUAACAUGGAGUGCUUGCACUUUGAUGACGACCGGCGCACGGGUGCGUAACGCGUAUACAAUCUACCUUAUACUGAGGGAUAGCCCAGAGAAAUUUGGAUUAAUACCUCAUAGUAUGUUUUUAUGGCAUCAUAUAGACAUUAAAGGUUACGGUAUAAGAUGAAUAUGCNNNCCUAUUAGCUAGAUGGUAAGGUAACGGCUUACCAUUGCUACGAUAGGUAGGGGCCCUGAGAGGGGGAUCCCCCACACUGGUACUGAGACACGGACCAGACUCCUACGGGAGGCAGCAGUGAGGAAUAUUGGACAAUGGGCGAGAGCCUGAUCCAGCCAUGCCGCGUGCAGGAAGACUGCCCUAUGGGUUGUAAACUGCUUUUAUAUAGGAAGAAACCUAUCCACGUGUGGAUAGCUGACGGUACUAUAAGAAUAAGGAUCGGCUAACUCCGUGCCAGCAGCCGCGGUAAUACGGAGGAUCCAAGCGUUAUCCGGAAUCAUUGGGUUUAAAGGGUCCGUAGGCGGGCUAUUAAGUCAGAGGUGAAAGUUUGCAGCUCAACUGUAAAAUUGCCUUUGAUACUGGUAGUCUUGAAUUAGUAUGAAGUGGUUAGAAUAANNNNNGUAGCGGUGAAAUGCAUAGAUAUUACUUAGAAUACCGAUUGCGAAGGCAGAUCACUAAUACUAUAUUGACGCUGANGGACGAAAGCGUGGGGAGCGAACAGGAUUAGAUACCCUGGUAGUCCACGCCGUAAACGAUGGAUAC
rnacentral:rRNA from 1 species